CGGUGAGUCAGAAUCUGUUUGCAAGCACAGAGAAGUUUCUCCAAGUUAUGUGGGUACAACAAUGGACACCCAGAAGGACGUUCAACUCCCAAAUCAACAGCCAAUGAUAUAUAUCUGUGGAGAAUGUCACACAGAAAAUGAAAUAAAAUCAAGGGAUCCAAUCCGAUGCACAGAAUGUGGAUACAGAAUAAUGCACAAGAAAAGGACUAAAAGAUUGAUGUUUUUUGAUGCUCAAUGAAACACGAAAUUCAGAGGAAUAUCUUCAUUUGCAUUUGGAUUUGCUGUUAAUAUUGUAUAGCUUUUGAUUAGUGUACUUUAUGAAUACAACUAUACACACAUGUUUUCAUUUUAAAAGCCAUAUUGUAUUUAGGUAUCUACUAAUAGUUUAUAUAAGGAUAUUAUUUUUUGUUCUGUUACAUGGUUUGUAAUUUAAUUUUAUAUGUAAUCUGACACACAAUGAAGGUUAAAGUGCUUCCCCAAACUACACUUUAAUCAAAUUCUAGAAUCAUCUGGCACCCUUGUUAAAAAUGAAGUUUGCUAGGGCCCUCUAAAGGUCUGAUUAAGUAAGUUCCUAGGAAACCACUGUUUUACAUCACCAAUUGUUUGUAAACUCUCCAGCAUCAUUUUGUAUAGAGUAUACCAA